AGGAUCAUUGUCGAAAUCUGCAAAGCAGAAUGACUUUGCGAACAAGUGAAAAUCAUGGUUGAAAGGCACCACGGUCGCCUUUCCGACCCGAUCAUUGGAGGCGGUUCCCGUCCCUCCCACAUGGUCAAAAUCAACAAUACCUCAGCGCGGAAUGCGCCAAGGAAAACAAACAGAAGGUACGCCUACCCCUCUUGCACCGUAAAUGGUUGUGUGGUUGUGGCUUGCGUAUUUCGCUUAAUCUAAUGUUACAACGACUCUCGGCAACGGAUAUCUUGGCUCUCGCAUCGAUGAAGAACGUAGCAAAAUGCGAUAGCUGGUGUGAAUUGCAGAAUCCCGUGAACCAUCGAGUCUUUGAACGCAAGUUGCGCCUGAAGCCGUCAGGCCAAGGGCACGCCUGCCUGGGUGUCACCCUCCCCCUUGCCCAAGUAACACGCCUCCUCCCACCGAAAAUUGGGAAGGGGGGUGCGAUGGGCGGAUAAAUGGCCUCCCAUGGUGCGUAAUUCGUGGUUGGCCCAAAAUUAGCACUUGGCUUAGGAAGCCACGACAAGCAUUGGCGAAAAACUCCGGUGAUUCCUUGAUCGUUGUUGUCGUGCUAGACUUUGUAGCGUGCUAUAAAAUACCCUCGGUGCUUGCAUUCUAAGAUUUGCGACCCC
rnacentral:rRNA from 1 species